rnacentral:piRNA from 1 species
UGAGCAGACUAAGACAUAUUGGUAGCU